GGCGUGAGAGCAUGCUCAUCUAUCGUCCUGCAGAAGGUCUUGGGCUCAGAUGGGACGUAAACGUUCCUUCUCUCAGGAGGCCUCAGGGUCACUUCUUUGCCAUUUUGUACUAGAUAGAGGGGCCCUUGGGAGCUGAGGGCAAGACAUCAGGCUUGUGGUCAUUCCUGCAUCUGUGUGAGAUGAGGUUGUAUGGUGUGCAUCCAGGCUUUGGAGCAGGAGGAAUCCAGGCCCAGGGGGAUUGAGAGGCUGAGCCUGGGGCUAUUUCUCCAGGGUGAGUGGGAAGCUGUCCAGCAGAAGUGCGGCCCUGUGAUCUUGAUCGGAAGCUCUCUACCCUAACUGGUGACUUCUGGGACACAUUCUUUGUGCCUUAACAUUGAGAUUGAGAUUGAGACUGGGAUGCUAGGGAGAGGGGUUGGCUCAGAGGUGGGGAGGGAUUUGCUGGGCUCCUUACUGAAGGUCUCUGGGCCCAAAAGGACCUUCCGUACAUCCUUCCUGGAGGUCAGAGGAAAGAUUGCCUGACUUGGGUCAUCUUGGGCGAAUCCUACCAGACCAAGGAAUUAGAGAAUAGAGAAGGAAUUGCCUUCUUGUUUGUGAUGGAAUUUGCAGUGAACCACAGAGUUUCAGAGAUGAGGAGAGGCUGGCUCCCCACUCUAGCAGCUUCUGUGCUCUGUAAAUCCUGAGAGCUCCGGUGCAAGGGCACCAUGGAAAAUCACUGUGAUGUGCCACCAUUAGGCCUUGAUGCGUAGUAUUGCUGGUCACGCCAGCUUCACUUUCUCUUUCUUGCAAACCGAGUAGUCUAGACCCCCUGUGGUGCAUGUGCCAUUUAAUGUGUGGCCCAGCUGGGCACCCACAAGGAUAUCCUGUCCUUCUGUACAUACAAAUGCAAACCCAAACUUUCAGUUUACAACCAGUUGGCCAGCUCUGCUCACUAGAAGCAGAGUAACUUUCUUGAGUUGUCCAGGUUAGAGUUUUCAGAUCAUGAUGGACCCACACUCAAGGUCAAGUCUCCCAUCUGCAUCAAGGCUACAUUAGCUCUAUUGCAGACACCCUCAAUCGCUGUCACCACCAUCCUCCUCCUCACCAGCACUAGCAACGUCAUCACUACCACCAGCACCUUCUUCCUCAUCAUUAUCAUCAUCAUUGCCUCCAUCACUGAACCGGUACAGCCCGUGGCCCUUCUCUUAAGCCCUUUUAAAAUGAUUGGCUGGUUAAUUGGACAAAUAUCAACUUCUCCUUGUGUGACAAUGGUUUGUUUGUCUCCCCACUCAGAUAAUAUCUAUUCAAGUUUUCAGAGACGAGGGAGGGACUUGCUGAAAAUUAAUAGUGACAAUUCUAGUCGCUAUAGUGGGAGAGGAAAGGAAGGC
rnacentral:lncRNA from 9 species